CUGGACUACUAACCUACUAUUGAUAUGGUAUGAAACAAAGGAGCAAGAACUUAAAUAUCAGACACUUACAAACCUUUCGGAACUUUAUCAAGGAUACGUUUGAAAAAAUGUCACGGACAAGAGUACAUAGCUUAACUGAACACAAAAAAAGAGGACAGAAAGUAUAUAUAGAGCAUAUUUAAAUAUAUUUAUAUUCAAGAUAUUAUUUGUAUUUUAUCUCAAUGUCUUUCAUCUUUCCACAUAAGUGAAUAAUACUCUUUGAAACGAAAAAGUACAGCAAGUAUAUUUUCAAUGGUACACAAGAGGCGUUAUAAUAAUUUAACAAAACUUGAUCGAUAUGCAGCUUGUUGUCAGAUAUUUUAGUGUAUUUGAGGUUUCAUUGACAGAAACAUACUUUGAUAGUGUACAAAAUGAAACUUUAGAGGUCAUGAGACUUUACUGCAUGAGAAGUGGAUUUAACCUUGCAGUGCAGCAGUUUUUGAGUCUCUGGUCUAACCUGAGGUAACUUAAGGAAAAAUGCUGUAAUUGACAGAUUAUAGGUAACUCUAGGAAAAUGCAGUAUUUAAUUGUUUAUAGGUAGCUCAAAGUAAAUGCAGUAUUUGACUGUUUAUAGGUAACUCUAAGAAAAUGCAAUAUUAAAGUUUUUAUAGGUAACUCUGGGAAAAUGCAGUAUUUAAUUGUUUAUAGGUAACUCUGGGAAAAUGCAGUAUUUAAUUGUUUAUAGGUAACUCUGGGAAAAUGCAGCAUUUAAUUGUUUAUAGGUAGCUCAAAGUAAAUGCAGUAUUUGACUGUUUAUAGGUAACUAAGAAAAUGCAAUAUUAAAGUUUUUAUAGGUAACUCUGGGAAAAUGCAGUAUUUAAUUGUUUAUAGGUAACUCUGGGAAAAUGCAGUAUUUAAUUGUUUAUAGGUAACUCUGGGAAAAUGCAGUAUUUAAUUGUUUAUAGGUAACUCUAGGAAAAUGCAGUAUUUAACUGUUUAUAAGUAACUCUGGGAAAAUGCAGUAUUAAACUGUUUAUAGGUAACUCUGGGAAAAUGCAGUAUUAAACUGUUUAUAGGUAACUCUAGGAAAAUGCAGUAUUAAUCUUUUUAUAGG